AUGGUUAAGUGGGAAACGAUGUGGGAAGGCCCAGACAGCCAGGAUGUUGGCUUAGAAGCAGCCAUCAUUUAAAGAAAGCGUAAUAGCUCACUGGUCGAGUCGGCCUGCGCGGAAGAUGUAACGGGGCUAAACCAUGCACCGAAGCUGCGGCAGCGACACUAUGUGUUGUUGGGUAGGGGAGCGUUCUGUAAGCCUGUGAAGGUGUGCUGUGAGGCAUGCUGGAGGUAUCAGAAGUGCGAAUGCUGACAUAAGUAACGAUAAAGCGGGUGAAAAGCCCGCUCGCCGGAAGACCAAGGGUUCCUGUCCAACGUUAAUCGGGGCAGGGUGAGUCGACCCCUAAGGCGAGGCCGAAAGGCGUAGUCGAUGGGAAACAGGUUAAUAUUCCUGUACUUGGUGUUACUGCGAAGGGGGGACGGAGAAGGCUAUGUUGGCCGGGCGACGGUUGUCCCGGUUUAAGCGUGUAGGCUGGUUUUCCAGGCAAAUCCGGAAAAUCAAGGCUGAGGCGUGAUGACGAGGCACUACGGUGCUGAAGCAACAAAUGCCCUGCUUCCAGGAAAAGCCUCUAAGCAUCAGGUAACAUCAAAUCGUACCCCAAACCGACACAGGUGGUCAGGUAGAGAAUACCAAGGCGCUUGAGAGAACUCGGGUGAAGGAACUAGGCAAAAUGGUGCCGUAACUUCGGGAGAAGGCACGCUGAUAUGUAGGUGAGGUCCCUUGCGGAUGGAGCUGAAAUCAGUCGAAGAUACCAGCUGGCUGCAACUGUUUAUUAAAAACACAGCACUGUGCAAACACGAAAGUGGACGUAUACGGUGUGACGCCUGCCCGGUGCCGGAAGGUUAAUUGAUGGGGUUAGCGCAAGCGAAGCUCUUGAUCGAAGCCCCGGUAAACGGCGGCCGUAACUAUAACGGUCCUAAGGUAGCGAAAUUCCUUGUCGGGUAAGUUCCGACCUGCACGAAUGGCGUAAUGAUGGCCAGGCUGUCUCCACCCGAGACUCAGUGAAAUUGAACUCGCUGUGAAGAUGCAGUGUACCCGCGGCAAGACGGAAAGACCCCGUGAACCUUUACUAUAGCUUGACACUGAACAUUGAGCCUUGAUGUGUAGGAUAGGUGGGAGGCUUUGAAGUGUGGACGCCAGUCUGCAUGGAGCCGACCUUGAAAUACCACCCUUUAAUGUUUGAUGUUCUAACGUUGACCCGUAAUCCGGGUUGCGGACAGUGUCUGGUGGGUAGUUUGACUGGGGCGGUCUCCUCCUAAAGAGUAACGGAGGAGCACGAAGGUUGGCUAAUCCUGGUCGGACAUCAGGAGGUUAGUGCAAUGGCAUAAGCCAGCUUGACUGCGAGCGUGACGGCGCGAGCAGGUGCGAAAGCAGGUCAUAGUGAUCCGGUGGUUCUGAAUGGAAGGGCCAUCGCUCAACGGAUAAAAGGUACUCCGGGGAUAACAGGCUGAUACCGCCCAAGAGUUCAUAUCGACGGCGGUGUUUGGCACCUCGAUGUCGGCUCAUCACAUCCUGGGGCUGAAGUAGGUCCCAAGGGUAUGGCUGUUCGCCAUUUAAAGUGGUACGCGAGCUGGGUUUAGAACGUCGUGAGACAGUUCGGUCCCUAUCUGCCGUGGGCGCUGGAGAACUGAGGGGGGCUGCUCCUAGUACGAGAGGACCGGAGUGGACGCAUCACUGGUGUUCGGGUUGUCAUGCCAAUGGCACUGCCCGGUAGCUAAAUGCGGAAGAGAUAAGUGCUGAAAGCAUCUAAGCACGAAACUUGCC
rnacentral:rRNA from 1 species